AGAGUUUGAUCCUGGCUCAGAUUGAACGCUGGCGGCAUGCCUUACACAUGCAAGUCGAACGGCAGCACGGAGCUUGCUCUGGUGGCGAGUGGCGAACGGGUGAGUAAUAUAUCGGAACGUACCCUUGGGUGGGGGAUAACGUAGCGAAAGUUACGCUAAUACCGCAUACGAUCUACGGAUGAAAGUGGGGGCUCANCAAUGACCUCNUGCUCNUGGAGCANCCGAUAUCUGAUUANCUAGUUGGUAGGGUAAAANCCUACCUAGGCAUCNAUCAGUANCUGGUCUGAGAGGACGACCANCCACNCUGGANCUGANACACGGUCCANACUCCUACGGGAGGCAGCAGUGGNGAAUUUUGGACAAUGGGCGAAAGCCUGAUCCAGCAAUGCCGCGUGAGUGAAGAACGNCUUCGGGUUGUAAANCUCUUUUGUCAGGNAAGAAACGGUGGUUUCUANUACNGAUCACUAGUGACGGUACCUGAANAAUAAGCACCGGNUANCUACGUGCCAGCAGCCGCGAUAAUACGUAGGGUGC
rnacentral:rRNA from 1 species